rnacentral:rRNA from 1 species
UACGGAGGGGGCUAGCGUUGUUCGGAAUUACUGGGCGUAAAGCGCACGUAGGCGGCGAUUCAAGUCAGAGGUGAAAGCCCGGGGCUCAACCCCGGAACUGCCUUUGAAACUAGAUUGCUAGAAUCCUGGAGAGGUUAGUGGAAUUCCGAGUGUAGAGGUGAAAUUCGUAGAUAUUCGGAAGAACACCAGUGGCGAAGGCGACUAACUGGACAGGUAUUGACGCUGAGGUGCGAAAGCGUGGGGAGCAGACAGG